rnacentral:rRNA from 1 species
UACGUAGGUCCCGAGCGUUGUCCGGAUUUAUUGGGCGUAAAGCGAGCGCAGGUGGUUUAAUAAGUCUGAUGUAAAAGGCAGUGGCUCAACCAUUGUGUGCAUUGGAAACUGGUAGACUUGAGUGCAGUAGAGGAGAGUGGAAUUCCAUGUGUAGCGGUGAAAUGCGUAGAUAUCGGGAGGAACACCAGUGGCGAAAGCGGCUCUCUGGACUGUAACUGACACUGAGGCUCGAAAGCGUGGGUAGCAAACAGG